rnacentral:rRNA from 1 species
GGAGGGUGCAAGCGUUAAUCGGAAUUACUGGGCGUAAAGCGCACGCAGGCGGUCUGUCAAGUCGGAUGUGAAAUCCCCGGGCUCAACCCGGGAACUGCAUUCGAAACUGGCAGGCUAGAGUCUUGUAGAGGGGGGUAGAAUUCCAGGUGUAGCGGUGAAAUGCGUAGAGAUCUGGAGGAAUACCGGUGGCGAAGGCGGCCCCCUGGACAAAGACUGACGCUCAGGUGCGAAAGCGUGGGGAGCAAACAGGAUUAGAUACCCUGGUAGUCCACGCCGUAAACGAUGUCGACUUGGAGGUUGUGCCCUUGAGGCGUGGCUUCCGGAGCUAACGCGUUAAGUCGACCGCCUGGGGAGUACGGCUGCAAGGUUA